rnacentral:rRNA from 1 species
UACGAAGGGGGCUAGCGUUGCUCGGAAUCACUGGGCGUAAAGCGCGCGUAGGCGGAUCGUUAAGUCGGGGGUGAAAUCCUGGAGCUCAACUCCAGAACUGCCUUUGAUACUGGCGAUCUUGAGUCCGGGAGAGGUGAGUGAAACUCCGAGUGUAGAGGUGAAAUUCGUAGAUAUUCGGAAGAACACCAGUGGCGAAAGCGGCCACCUGGACUGUACCUGACGCUCAAACGCGAAAGCUAGGGGAGCGAACGGG